AACAAUGUCCAGACAAAUUACCUCAUUAUGGGUGCCAUGUCAAUUCGAAAGGAGACGGUGUGGAACAAGAAGAAUGAUAGAUAUGAUGGAUUCAUAAACUAUGGCACAGUAAACCCUGAAGAUCCAGAGACAUUAGCAUCUGAAGCACUAGUCUUUCUUUUGGUUGGAGCCAGAACACACUGGAAAUGUCCCAGUGUAUGGGUAUGGUCUACGGGUAUGGUCUAUCACUGCAGAUGGAACAUCAGUAAAUCUCAGCACCUUCAGUCUUCUUGGCUGUAAAUUUGGAACAACGUACAAGGACAUGGUUACAAAGUUCAAGCAUCCAACAGAAGAUUACCACGUAUACGUCAUAUUGGAUCCAUGCCACAUGUUGAAACUGGCAAGAAAUGCACUAGGAACACUUCAUUCAUUCAUUCACCGACAAUGAUGGUAAGGUCAGAUGGAGAUUCUUCAAAAAUUUGUGCUUAAUCCAGGAGGAACAUGGGUUGAAAAUGGCCAACAAGUUGUCCCCAAAACACCUGCAAUUUGAGAAACAUAAAAUGAAGGUUAACCUGGCGGCACAAACACUAAGUUCAUCGGUAGCAGAUGCAAUUGAAUUCCUAGAUAACCUAAUGGAGCUACCGGACU